rfam:Triticum aestivum genome assembly, contig: Triticum_aestivum_CS42_TGACv1_scaffold_571367_7AS
GAACUACUCCCUCCGUCCCAAAAUUUUGUCUUAGAUUCGUCUAGAUAUGGAUGUAUCUAAUACUAAAACGUGACUUGAUACAUCCGUAUUCCGACAAAUCUAAGACAAAUAUUUUGAGAUGGAGGGAGUAUAAC